CUCCAUUCUUUAAGCACUGAUUCGAGCACCGAUUAAGCACCGGCACCGUUGACACCGGUGUCGUAUAAAACCUAAACGACACCCAUCCCUACUCCUAACAUGCCUCCUUCCUCCUCUUCCUUUUCUUUCAGCCAUCAGUAGCAUGACAGUCUUAUUCAUUAUGAUCUACACAUUUUAUUUGGUAAAGCUUUAGUUCAGAAUGCCCUUACUAAUGCAACACUCCCCAUUUACCCAGGCUGGCACUUGGAGUACACUGGCUUGUGGCCCCUUGUGCCAGCAUUAGUGCUUUCCUCCUUUCUGCUGCUCACAAUUCACCGAUCACACUUUGACUAUUACCAUUAAAACAAGAGUCAGAAGAUUUAGCUACAGAGCUACGAUACUUUAAAUGUUAAAGUUUCAUGAUUCACGUGUGGAUGUUGCAUAAGAAAAGCAUGAUGUAUAAAGUAUAAGUGUUUCUGACCCGUUGUUCAUGUUCCUUCAUUUUUCCCUGAAAUCUAUCAAAUACUGUCCAACAGACUGAUGGCACAGCAGUGCAGAGGCUGCAGAACCUGCGUCUGAAGCCUCUGGUUUAAAAUAGAGCAACAUGGGGUUAGUAUCUUGCCCAAGGACAUCAUGCAGACUGGCAUUAAACCACCAACCUUCUGGUUAGCAGGUGACCUGCUCGACCACCUGAGUUCCAGCCGCCUCAUCAAAGUGACCAAUCACAUUAGAAUCCUGUCCUGCUUUGGGCUCCGCCUCCAAACCAUCCAAAGCAGGUUUAUUUGCACCAUGUAUGCAGGUAAACUCAAACAUCCAUUCAGCUGCUUCAGAAGGAAAAUGUCAGCUUGUGGUUUCAAUCACAGGAAACUCACAGGUUAGAGUCCAGCCAGAGGGCUGCUGUUGUUUAUCUGUAAAGUCUUUACAUUUACAGAAAUAAAUAAUUAUGUGGACACAUCUGGAUCAUCAGCAAACAUGAAACCAGGCGACCACCAGGACCAAGCUGACUGCUGACACAGAGUUCAUACUCUAACUGCUAGCUGCUCUGCUAGCUAAGUGAACUGAUGUUAAAGUGACAGCAGACUGAGUCAAAGACAGAAACCUUAUUUAAACAGCAAAUAUUCACCGGCUUCACUUCCUGAUCCAGGAUUCAAAGAGGACGUUGCACUUACUCAGCUUCUUCCCAUGAACGUCUUCACUCUGCAGCUCUGCUGUCUGGACCAGGUCUGUGUAGAAACAGAGACAAGCUUCUGCUUCAUCAGUCCUCUGUGUCUGCAGGCUGAAGUCACAUUAAACACUUCACACCAGCAAAGAGUCUGAAGCUCACAGGUCAAAGGUCAGCUGCUGCACCUUGUGUGAUAUUGUUUGAUCAAUAAUUAACCUGCAGCAGGUUUCUGCUCCAAGUCCAACACACUGAACAACCCUGAGAACAAAUCAGAUGAUGUGGGUGUGUCUGCAAGCUUCAAUAGUAUUAAACACCUCACACCAGCAAUGAGUCUGAAGCUCGCAGGUUAAAGGUCAAAGGUCAGCUGCCACACUGUAUAUAACAUUGUAAUAUGUAUACAACCUGACUGUGGGCGUGUGUGCAGCCAUAAACAGUUUAAACAUUAAACACUGAACCAUAAAAGAAGCUUAAGCUGCAGCUCACAGGUCAAAGGUCAGCUGCUGCAGCCAGUUAUGACUUUACAUAAAUCAUCAUGUUUUCCCUCUCAGCACUUGGGCUGUUUUGACUCAGCUACACUAACAGCAUCAUCCAGUUAGAGAGGAAACUGUAUAAUGCAAUGAUGAUGUUCCAGCGUCAUGUUGUUGCUCCUCCUCCACAUGCUUACCUGCCACAGUUUAACUCCGCCUCUUAAACUGUCAUGUCACCUGAUCUGCAUGUUUUGUUGUACGAUGACGUCAUCUUGACGUUGACGAGGAG